rnacentral:tRNA from 1 species
GCUUGCAAAGGACAAUAGUUCGUCCAUUGGUCUUAGGAACCAAGGUUCUUGGUGCAAGUCCAAGUGUAAGCU